CGUGAGCCGCACACAUUGUUCUAAAACCGGAACAAUAUGGAGAUUAGGAUGUCACCUGCACAAAGAUGACACACACAUUGGUGAAGUAGUCCAUAUUUUU
ensembl:snRNA U6 U6 spliceosomal RNA